rnacentral:rRNA from 1 species
CUUGAGGAGUGGCUUCCGGAGCUAACGCGUUAAGUCGACCGCCUGGGGAGUACGGCCGCAAGGUUAAAACUCAAAUGAAUUGACGGGGGCCCGCACAAGCGGUGGAGCAUGUGGUUUAAUUCGAUGCAACGCGAAGAACCUUACCUACUCUUGACAUCCAGCGAAUUCGGCAGAGAUGCCUUAGUGCCUUCGGGAACGCUGAGACAGGUGCUGCAUGGCUGUCGUCAGCUCGUGUUGUGAAAUGUUGGGUUAAGUCCCGCAACGAGCGCAACCCUUAUCCUUUGUUGCCAGCACGUAAUGGUGGGAACUCAAAGGAGACUGCCGGUGAUAAACCGGAGGAAGGUGGGGAUGACGUCAAGUCAUCAUGGCCCUUACGAGUAGGGCUACACACGUGCUACAAUGGCGCAUACAAAGAGAAGCGACCUCGCGAGAGCAAGCGGACCUCACAAAGUGCGUCGUAGUCCGGAUCGGAGUCUGCAACUCGACUCCGUGAAGUCGGAAUCGCUAGUAAUCGUGGAUCAGAAUGCCACGGUGAAUACGUUCCCGGGCCUUGUACACACCGCCCGUCACACCAUGGGAGUGGGUUGCAAAAGAAGUAGGUAGCUUAACCUUCGGGAGGGCGCUUACCACUUUGUGAUUCAUGACUGGGGUGAAGUC